UAACACCAUGUUGAAAGAAUCAACAACAACCAUCUCCGAUUUCACCAUCAUAUGAAAAAAAAAUACAGAAUCUUCACCAACGACUUGAAAAAUCCAAAAUUUACCACCGAUAAUACGUUAAACUCAAACCGAAAGAACGAGGAAGAUAGAAAAUAUAUCCGAGAGGAAGAACCACGCUCUGAUACCAUGUUAACAUGGUGAAUCGGAGGUGAAUCGAAUGUUGAAAGAAGCAAAGAUAGAGAGAGAAAGAGAGAGAAAACCCUUCUCUGUAUUUUG
rnacentral:lncRNA from 1 species